AUUGCAUGGUAAGCGCCAGAACCCGGUUUACCCGGGUUGACGAGGAGGGAGUUAUCGAAAAUUUCGGCGGGUGCUCCCCGGUCGAGUCACGACCGUCAAAGGUACUACAAAUCCUGUGGGUAACUACAGGGACAAAGCGUACCGGGUGACUGGG
rnacentral:ncRNA from 2 species